CGCCUUGCCAGCCCGCUCAGAAACUCAAAGGAAGUUGACGGGGCCCGCACAAGCGGUGGAGUAUGUGGUUAAUUCGAUGCAACGCGAAGAACCUUACCUGGUCUUGACAUCCCGGAGACCCUUAGGAAACUAGGGGGUGCUUCCAUCUGGAAGAAUCUGGAGACAGGUGCUGCAUGGCUGUCGUCAGCUCGUGUCGUGAGAUGUUGGGUUAAGUCCCGCAACGAGCGCAACCCUUGCCUUUAGUUGCCAGCAGUUCGGCUGGGCACUCUAAAGGGACUGCCGGUGUUAAACCGGAGGAAGGUGGGGAUGACGUCAAGUCCUCAUGGCCUUUAUGACCAGGGCUACACACGUACUACAAUGGCCGAUACAAAGGGCAGCGACACUGCGAGGUGAAGCCAAUCCCGUAAAAUCGGUCUCAGUCCGGAUUGGAGUCUGCAACUCGACUCCAUGAAGUUGGAAUCGCUAGUAAUCGUGGAUCAGCAUGCCACGGUGAAUACGUUCCCGGGCCUU
rnacentral:rRNA from 1 species